CUGGUAACUAUAGCGGAGAGGUCACACCCGUUCCCAUCCCGAACACGGCAGUUAAGCUCUCCUGCGCCGAUGGUACUGCAUUAAUUUGUGGGAGAGUAGGUCGUUGCCAGGA
rnacentral:rRNA from 1 species